AGGCGGGGAAGGCGCCAUUUUGUAGCCAGAAAGUUAAAAAACAGUGAAAGACCCGCGAACACAUCCGCAGACCCGCGAAAACAGCAAAGAUGAAGCCGGACUGCAAGAGAGAGUGAGGGGAGAAGUAAGGGAAGAUCAGCGUCUGCUUUGGACUUCUCACGGCGAUAUUCAAAAACCUGGAAUACUGUGAUUUUUGUGGCCCGUGGACCCUUUACGGACUAAAGGAAUACAAAUAAUGGAGGAAUGGAGAGAGAAUCGGAGUUCUACACGUCUCAACGGUGUUGACUCCGAGCUGACGAUGAAAAGGAUUUGGGCCUGACGACUGAUGGGACCAAGUUGGACCGGGUCUGUUCCAGUCGGGGUCUGCUCCAAUCAGGUGCUGGCAGCCGCUCGCAGAGAGUCAGCACAACUGGAGGCUCCUGACAACACAGUGUACUGCAGGUUGACCUCUGACAAGUGUUUCUGUG